AGUAAACUUGGCAUUGUGUUCGGGCUUUUCUUGCGCAGCCUAGGUGGGAGGCUAUGAACGUUACCUUCCGGGGUAAUCUGAGCCAACAUUGAGAGACCACUCUGGGAAAGCUAGAAUCCUAAUGAUGAUCUUUGAAUCAAGACAUCUGACAGUUUCAGGUGGGCAGUUUAUCUGGGGCGGAUGCCUCCUAAAGUGUAACUGAGGCGUGCAAAGGUUCUCUCAGUCUGGACGGAAAUCACACAUUGAGUGUAAAGGCAAAAGAGAGCUUGACUGUAAAAACAACAAUUCAAGCAGGGGCAAAAGCCGGCCUUAUUGAUCCAACGGUGCCCCGGGGAAGGCCCGCCCCUCACCGGAUAAAAUUUACUCUAGGGAUAACAGGCUGAA
rnacentral:rRNA from 1 species